UACGUAGGGACCAAGCGUUGUUCGGAUUUACUGGGCGUAAAGGGCGCGUAGGCGGCAAUUCAAGUCAUCUGUGAAAUCUCCGGGCUUAACCCGGAACGGUCAGGUGAUACUGUUUUGCUAGAGUGCGGAAGGGGCAAUCGGAAUUCUCGGUGUAGCGGUGAAAUGCGUAGAUAUCGAGAGGAACACCAGAGGUGAAGACGGGUUGCUGGGCCGACACGUGACGCUGACAGCGCGAAAGCCAGGGGAGCAAACGGG
rnacentral:rRNA from 1 species